rnacentral:rRNA from 1 species
AACAGGUCCCGCCUGCCCCGUGACUUAUUGUUUAACGGCCGCGGUAUCUUGACCGUGCAAAGGUAGCGUAAUCACUUGUCUUUUAAAUGAAGACCCGUAUGAAUGGCAAAACGAGGGCUUAACUGUCUCCUUCCCCCAGUCAAUGAAAUUGAUCUCCCCGUGCAGAAGCGGGGAUAUUCACAUAAGACGAGAAGACCCUAUGGAGCUUUAGACAUAUAGACAGAUCACGUAAAUAACCUUAAUAAAAAGACAAAACCAAAUGACCCCUGUCGUGAUGUCUUUGGUUGGGGCGACCCCGGGGAAAUAAAAAACCCCCGAACGGAAUGAAAACACCUUAACUUCAUAAACAAGAGCCACAGCUCACAAAAUCAGAACUUCUGACCCAAAGAUCCGAUAUAAUCGAUCGACGGACCGAGUUACCCUAGGGAUAACAGCGCAAUCCCCUUUCAGAGUCCCUAUCGACAAGGGGGUUUACGACCUCGAUGUUGGAUCAGGACAUCCUAAUGGUGCAGCCGCUAUUAAGGGUUCGUUUGUUCAACGAUUAAAGUCCU